GAUGAAGAACGCAGCGAAAUGCGAUAAGUAGUGUGAAUUGCAGAAGUACCGUGAAUCAUCGAAUCUUUGAACGCAAAUUGCACUCUCUGGUAUUCCGGGGAGUAUGCCUGUUUGAGGGUCGCUUAACAAACCAUCGAUUUCGUUGCUUUUUUUUUAAAAAGUGAUGUUUAUCGGAUUUGAGCCGUCUCUUUUUUUUAUAUUUAAGUGGCUUAAAAUUGAUUUUUUUGGUACGAUCGAAGCGUAUUUUUAUGAUCAAUUUUUGGUUAAAGAAACGCACACGUACCGUUAUUUAUAUGAUGUAAUACGUUUGACUAUUGGAUUUAGUUCAUUCGUAUACGAUAUUUUUCAAUAUUUGACCUCAAAUCAGGUAAGAACACCCGCUGAACUUAAGCAUAUCAAUAAGCGGAGGA
rnacentral:misc_RNA from 1 species